rnacentral:lncRNA from 1 species
GCCUUAAUGAUUGUCUUUAUGCAGGACCUCCGCUUCAAAAUCGGUUGUGGAACGUGUUGGUACGCAUUCGUUUUCACCCAGUUGCAGUGACCGGGGACAUUAAACAGGCUUUUUUACAAGUCCGUAUCAGGAAAGCAGAGAAAGACUCACUCAGAUUCCAUUGGAAGUCCAAUAAACAGUCGUUAGUCGAAACAUUGAGAUUCACGCGAGCGCUAUUUGGUCUAGUGUGUUCGCCGUUCCUUCUCGGCGGUGUCGUCGAACGUCAUCUGGAAUCGUGGAAAGAACGUGAACCAGAGCUGGUCGCUGAAAUCCGUAGAAGCCUUUAUGUUGACGACCUACUGAGUGGUAAGCCAACCGUAGCAGAAGCAAAGGAUUUGAAGGAAGGAGCUAUUAAGAUUUUUCAAGAUGCCAAGUUCACAUUACACAAAUGGCAUUCAAAUGAUCCUGAGUUGGAAAGCGAACAGUCCAGCGUGGAGACGGAGAAUACCUUUGCCAAACAGCAACUUGGUGCACCAACCGAUCCGGAGUCAAGUCUUCUCGGCCUGUCCUGGAACAAGGAAGCUGAUGAGUUCAGUGUUGUGGUCCCCGAUAUGAAACCGAACGUGACUAAGAGAGAACUUUUGAGCAAUCUAGCAAGCAUUUAUGAUCCCUUGGGCCUUGUAGCACCUGUGACACUCAAGGGAAAGACAAUCCACCGAGAAACGUGCAAGGCAAAAACAGCAUGGGAUGCAUCACUUCCAGAACCACAAGCAGCAGAAUAUGGUCGAUGGGUAAGGGAACUGCCUAGACGUGUAACUGUACCGAGAGCCUUGACAACUCAGCGCGAAGCUGUAGAAGAAAUUGAGCUGCACACAUUCGGGGAUGCAAGUGGGAAAGGAGUUUGUGCAGCCCUUUAUGCAAUUGUGAAACAAGGUGAUGAAACCAACGUGGGUUUAGUCGCUGCCAGAGCAAGAUUAGCUAAACAGGACUUGAGCAUACCUCGCCUAGAACUUGUUUCCGCCCAUAUGGCAGCAAAUCUGAUGAUGAAUGUUCAACAAGCGCUUGAUGGAAUGCCUGUUACGGGAACCUACGGAUGGUUAGACAGCACGGUAGCGCUGCAGUGGUUAAAAGGGGGAGGAGAAUAUAAACAAUUUGUGGCCAAUCGGGUGAGAAAGAUUCAAGCUUGCCCAGAUAUAAUUUGGCGUCAUGUCCCAAGUCAAGACAACCCUGCUGACCUGGGAAGUCGGGGAGGACAGGUGACUGGAAAUCUACUGUGGUGGAAAGGACCUCCGUGGUUGACCAAUCAGAGCGAGUGGCCAAGAGAUAUAGUAACGACUGCAACCCAUGAAAGCGAAGCCAAAGCGACAAGAGCAGUGUUCAAGUUAGCUGUAGAACCAACCAACCCACCUGAUGAAAUCUUGACAAAGUUUUCCCUCAACAAAGCUGUGAGAGUAAACGCAUGGAUUUCUCGAUUUGUGUAUAAUUGUCGAGCGAAAGCAACUAAGAAAGAGACACGGUCGGGGCCGUUGACAACGCAAGAGAUAAACGACCAACACAGCGCUUAUGUAAAACAAGCCCAAGCAAUUCUAGACGACAAAGUGAGCGACGAUAAGCAACGCCUGGGUGUACAAAUGAAUGAAGAUGGUAUGCUCGUGUGCAAAGGUCGGUUGCAAGGUCAAUACCCCGUAUUUUUACCGGACAGUCAUCUUUACACCACUAAACUCGUAGAAGAUGCGCAUCAACGCACGUUACACGGGGGAGUCGGGCUCACUAUGGCCAAGAUUAGAGAGAACGUUUGGGUGCCAAGGCUAAGACAACUUGUAAAGAAGACCGUAAAGGGAUGCCACGGGUGUCGACGAUUUCAUGCUAAGCCAGUUAGUAAACCACCUCCAGGAAACUUGCCCGUAGACCGAACAGAAGGUGAUCGUCCGUUUCAGGUCGUAGGCGUCGAUUUCGCCGGCCCCAUCAAGUAUCGCGUCACCAAAAAGACGGAAGGAAAGGCGUAUAUAACCCUCUACGCAUGUAGUCUAACGCGAGCCCUCUACCUAGAGUUAACCACGAGCAUGGAAACCGAUGAAUUUAUCCCUACCCUCAAGCGACUCAUCGCGAGGAAAGGCAGACCGGAAAAGAUUUAUUCCGACAACGCAAAGACCUUCGUUGCGGCAGCCAAGUGGUUGAAGAAGGCACAACAAGAUGAAAAAUUCAAUCAUUUCCUGGCCAACGAAAAAAUAAAAUGGCAGUUCAAUCUAAGUCGGGCCCCCUGGUGGGGGGGCCAAUUCGAACGUAUGGUCGGCUUGGUCAAGUCCGCGUUGUACAAGUCUAUUGGGAAUGGCUUCUUAGCCAAGAAAGAACUCGAAGAUGUCCUUCUAGACAUUGAAACAACAUUGAACAACAGACCUCUAGGGUACCAAGAAGAUGAUAUCCAAAUGCCAACAUUGACACCGAACAGUUUGCAGUUUGUUGGAUCGACCCACCUUCCGGAACCCGAACAUUACCACGAAGCCGAUCCUGACCUACGUAAACGCGAAAUACCUAAAGAAAUGUAAAGAUCACAUGUGGAACAGGUGGACGAAAGAGUACCUACGAGCCUUACGAGAACGACAUAAUUUAAAACAUGAUACGAAGCCAUUCAGCCUAGCUGUGGGUGAUGUCGUCAUAAUUUAUUCUGAAGAGCGCAAUAGAGGAAAGUGGCCGCUCGGAAUGGUUCAGGAACUUUACCCAGGAAGAGACGGGGUCGUUCGAGCAGCGAAAAUAAAGACGGGAAACGGUCAUUUAGAGAGAGCAGUCAAUCUACUCUACCCACUUGAACUGUCGUGUGACAUAAGACCAUCAACCGGUAGUGAAAACCUCAAUCCAGAAGCUGCAGUAUUUCGACCAACCCGCGAGGCAGCGGUCACCGCAAGGUUACGCAUCCAAGAGCAAGCGAACGAUGAUGAAAUUUGAACAAGAAUUUGAACAUAGUAUAUCCUUUUGAGACGUUAAAGUUUAUAUCUAAUAGAUGACAUUUAGUAGACCUUACAUUAGUAACAUUGAGAUUAUUUAAGUUUCCUUUCAGUACAUAUACCUUCAAGAAGCUAUAUGGGGGGAGAGUGUCGGAAACUAUAUUUAGCUUUUUUAUUAUCGCGUGGGACAUGCGAGUAUACUCGCAGACAGUCGGACAGCUCCGGAAUAUACCGUUGAGAAUGUUUACAGAGCGAGAGAUUCGGGAAAGAACACAGCGAAGCAUGAGAUUUUUGUCAAUAAAACUAUAGAAAUACACAGUGUUUGUAAUUUUAAUUUAUGUUGGGAAUCAACGGGAGGCAAUUCUCAACAGUGGCAACAAAAACAAGAUUAAACUAUAUAUAGAACAUUCAUUUCAAACUAGGCGGUGUCUGAAAUUGAUGCCGGGUUUUACUAAAUUUUCCCCUGUUAUAACUUCCUCCCAAAAAACAACUUAACUGAAGGAGAACGAACAAUUUUUAAAAUAAGACUAUAAACUCGUUUUUUUAAG